rnacentral:rRNA from 1 species
UGCAAGUCGAACGGCAGCACGGGAGCUUGCUCCUGGUGGCGAGUGGCGAMCGGGUGAGUAACAUAUCGGAACGUACCCAGUCGUGGGGGAUAACUAUCCGAAAGGAUAGCUAAUACCGCAUACGUCCUGAGGGAGAAAGCGGGGGAUCGCAAGACCUCGCGCGAUUGGAGCGGCCGAUAUCGGAUUAGCUAGUUGGUGGGGUAAAGGCUCACCAAGGCGACGAUCCGUAGCGGGUCUGAGAGGACGACCCGCCACACUGGAACUGAGACACGGUCCAGACUCCUACGGGAGGCAGCAGUGGGGAAUUUUGGACAAUGGGGGCAACCCUGAUCCAGCCAUUCCGCGUGAGUGAAGAAGGCCUUCGGGUUGUAAAGCUCUUUCAGCAGGAACGAAACGGUCGGCUUUAAUAAAGUCGGCUAAUGACGGUACCUGCAGAAGAAGCACCGGCUAACUACGUGCCAGCAGCCGCGGUAAUACGUAGGGUGCGAGCGUUAAUCGGAAUUACUGGGCGUAAAGCGUGCGCAGGCGGCGACAUAAGACAGAUGUGAAAUCCCCGGGCUCAACCUGGGAACUGCGUUUGUGACUGUGUUGCUAGAGUGCAGCAGAGGGGGGUGGAAUUCCACGUGUAGCAGUGAAAUGCGUAGAGAUGUGGAGGAACACCGAUGGCGAAGGCAGCCCCCUGGGUUAACACUGACGCUCAUGCACGAAAGCGUGGGGAGCAAACAGGAUUAGAUACCCUGGUAGUCCACGCCCUAAACGAUGCCAACUAGGUGUUGGGGGAGGAGACUUCCUUAGUACCGUAGCUAACGCGUGAAGUUGGCCGCCUGGGGAGUACGGUCGCAAGAUUAAA